AGCUGUUUUGGGACUACAGUUCCCAGCAUCCCUGACCACUGGUCCUGUUAGCUAGGGAUGGUGGGAGUCGUAGUCCCAAAACAGCU
rnacentral:miRNA from 1 species